GCAGUCGAACGGAAGGCCCUUCGGGGUACUCGAGUGGCGAACGGGUGAGUAACACGUGGGUGAUCUGCCCUGCACUUUGGGAUAAGCCUGGGAAACUGGGUCUAAUACCGAAUAUGACCACAUGCUUCAUGGUGUGUGGUGGAAAGCUUUUGCGGUGUGGGAUGGGCCCGCGGCCUAUCAGCUUGUUGGUGGGGUAAUGGCCUACCAAGGCGACGACGGGUAGCCGGCCUGAGAGGGUGACCGGCCACACUGGGACUGAGAUACGGCCCAGACUCCUACGGGAGGCAGCAGUGGGGAAUAUUGCACAAUGGGCGCAAGCCUGAUGCAGCGACGCCGCGUGAGGGAUGACGGCCUUCGGGUUGUAAACCUCUUUCAAUAGGGACGAAGCGCAAGUGACGGUACCUAUAGAAGAAGGACCGGCCAACUACGUGCCAGCAGCCGCGGUAAUACGUAGGGUCCGAGCGUUGUCCGGAAUUACUGGGCGUAAAGAGCUCGUAGGUGGUUUGUCGCGUUGUUCGUGAAAACUCACAGCUUAACUGUGGGCGUGCGGGCGAUACGGGCAGACUAGAGUACUGCAGGGGAGACUGGAAUUCCUGGUGUAGCGGUGGAAUGCGCAGAUAUCAGGAGGAACACCGGUGGCGAAGGCGGGUCUCUGGGCAGUAACUGACGCUGAGGAGCGAAAGCGUGGGGAGCGAACAGGAUUAGAUACCCUGGUAGUCCACGCCGUAAACGGUGGGUACUAGGUGUGGGUUCCUUCCUUGGGAUCCGUGCCGUAGCUAACGCAUUAAGUACCCCGCCUGGGGAGUACGGCCGCAAGGCUAAAACUCAAAGAAAUUGACGGGGGCCCGCACAAGCGGCGGAGCAUGUGGAUUAAUUCGAUGCAACGCGAAGAACCUUACCUGGGUUUGACAUGCACAGGACGCUGGUAGAGAUAUCAGUUCCCUUGUGGCCUGUGUGCAGGUGGUGCAUGGCUGUCGUCAGCUCGUGUCGUGAGAUGUUGGGUUAAGUCCCGCAACGAGCGCAACCCCUAUCUUAUGUUGCCAGCGCGUUAUGGCGGGGACUCGUAAGAGACUGCCGGGGUCAACUCGGAGGAAGGUGGGGAUGACGUCAAGUCAUCAUGCCCCUUAUGUCCAGGGCUUCACAC
rnacentral:rRNA from 1 species